UGCGUAGGCUGUGUUGUAAGUCAGAGGUGAAAUCCCGGGCUCAACCCCGGAACUGCCUCCGAUACUGCAAGACUUGAGGACUGGAGAGGAGAUUGGAAUUCAUGGUGGAGCAGUGAAAUGCGUAGAUAUCAUGAGGAACGCUAGUGGCGUAGGCGAAUCUCUGGACAGUUCCUGACGCUGAGGCACGAGGGCCAGGGGAGCAAACG
rnacentral:rRNA from 1 species